ACUCCUACGGGAGGCAGCAGUGAGGGAUAUUGGUCAAUGGGGGAAACCCUGAACCAGCGACGCCGCGUGGGUGAAGAAGGCCUUCGGGUCGUAAAGCCCUUUUCCCGCUGACGAGGAAGGACGGUAGGCGGGGAAGAAGUCUCGGCUAACUACGUGCCAGCAGCCGCGGUAAU
rnacentral:rRNA from 1 species